rnacentral:tRNA from 3 species
GCGCCCGUAGCUCAACUGGAUAGAGUAACAGACUACGAAUCUGGAGGUUGCAGGUUCGAGUCCUGCCGGGCGCGCCA